rnacentral:rRNA from 1 species
GAUGAACGCUAGCGGCAGGCCUAACACAUGCAAGUCGAGGGGUAGCAGGAUUAAGCUUGCUUAAUUGCUGACGACCGGCGCACGGGUGCGUAACGCGUAUGCAACCUACCUUAUACUGGGGUAUAGCCCGGAGAAAUUCGGAUUAAUCCCCCAUAGUACUAAUGAAUCGCAUGGUUUAUUAGUUAAGGCAUUGCGGUAUAAGCUGGGCAUGCGUCCUAUUGGCUAGAUGGUGGGGUAACGGCUCACCAUGGCUACGAUAGGUAGGGGGCCUGAGAGGGUGGUCGCCCACACUGGUACUGAGACACGGACCAGACUCCUAUGGGAGGCAGCGGUGAGGAAUAUUGGUCAAUGGGCGCAAGCCUGAACCAGCCAUGCCGCGUGCAGGAAGAAUGCCCUAUGGGUUGUAAACUGCUUUUAUUUGGGAAUAAACCUCUUUACGUGUAGAGAGCUGAAGGUACCAAAUGAAUAAGCACCGGCUAACUCCGUGCCAGCAGCCGCCGUAA